CUGGCCUAAAGAGAAAAAAAAUGCGUAUGAUUUAUUGAAUGCUUAAAGUCUAGAGAAAGAAGAGAGAUCGAGAUCGGUAUACCUUAGGAUCUGUGAAGUCGAUAUCACGUUCAACGUGAACCCAACCAGUUGGGCAGCAGCAAGCAAGAUCCAAUUUUUCGAGCGCAACCUGAGGAUCUUGAUUGACCGAACUAUCUUCGCCUUUUCUAAUCAUUCGAUUUAAUUCGUCGAUAACGUCCUUCGACGUUGCUCGCUCGUGGAAGCUCAAAGAUCUGUCCCUACCUUCGACCAAUAGAGGUGCUCUCGCGGGGCUAACCUGACGAAACGAAAUGAAAGUUUCAGGAGAAUGAACAUAGAAGAAAUAAAUCUUUCACGUUCACUA